AGAGUUUGAUCCUGGCUCAGAACGAACGCUGGCGGCGUGGAUAAGACAUGCAAGUCGAACGAGAGAAUUGCUAGCUUGCUAAUAAUUCUCUAGUGGCGCACGGGUGAGUAACACGUGAGUAACCUGCCCCCGAGAGCGGGAUAGCCCUGGGAAACUGGGAUUAAUACCGCAUAGUAUCGAAAGAUUAAAGCAGCAAUGCGCUUGGGGAUGGGCUCGCGGCCUAUUAGUUAGUUGGUGAGGUAACGGCUCACCAAGGCGAUGACGGGUAGCCGGUCUGAGAGGAUGUCCGGCCACACUGGAACUGAGACACGGUCCAGACACCUACGGGUGGCAGCAGUCGAGAAUCAUUCACAAUGGGGGAAACCCUGAUGGUGCGACGCCGCGUGGGGGAAUGAAGGUCUUCGGAUUGUAAACCCCUGUCAUGUGGGAGCAAAUUAAAAAGAUAGUACCACAAGAGGAAGAGACGGCUAACUCUGUGCCAGCAGCCGCGGUAAUACAGAGGUCUCAAGCGUUGUUCGGAAUCACUGGGCGUAAAGCGUGCGUAGGCUGUUUCGUAAGUCGUGUGUGAAAGGCGCGGGCUCAACCCGCGGACGGCACAUGAUACUGCGAGACUAGAGUAAUGGAGGGGGAACCGGAAUUCUCGGUGUAGCAGAGAAAUGCGUAGAUAUCGCGAGGAACACUCGUGGCGAAGGCGGGUUCCUGGACAUUAACUGACGCUGAGGCACGAAGGCCAGGGGAGCGAAAGGGAUUAGAUACCCCUGUAGUCCUGGCAGUAAACGGUGCACGCUUGGUGUGCGGGGAAUCGACCCCCUGCGUGCCGGAGCUAACGCGUUAAGCGUGCCGCCUGGGGAGUACGGUCGCAAGAUUAAAACUCAAAGAAAUUGACGGGGACCCGCACAAGCGGUGGAGUAUGUGGCUUAAUUCGAUGCAACGCGAAGAACCUUACCUGGGCUUGACAUGUAAUGAACAACAUGUGAAAGCAUGCGACUCUUCGGAGGCGUUACACAGGUGCUGCAUGGCCGUCGUCAGCUCGUGUCGUGAGAUGUUUGGUUAAGUCCAGCAACGAGCGCAACCCCUGUUGCCAGUUACCAGCACGUGAAGGUGGGGACUCUGGCGAGACUGCCCAGAUCAACUGGGAGGAAGGUGGGGACGACGUCAGGUCAGUAUGGCCCUUAUGCCCAGGGCUGCACACGUACUACAAUGCCCAGUACAGAGGGGGCCGAAGCCGCGAGGCGGAGGAAAUCCUAAAAACUGGGCCCAGUUCGGACUGUAGGCUGCAACCCGCCUACACGAAGCCGGAAUCGCUAGUAAUGGCGCAUCAGCUACGGCGCCGUGAAUACGUUCCCGGGUCUUGCAUACACCGCCCGU
rnacentral:rRNA from 1 species